AAUUAACGCUGGCGGCAUGCCUAACACAUGCAAGUCGUACGAGAAACCCCGGUUCGCCGGGGGAGUAAAGUGGCGCACGGGUGAGUAACGCGUGGGUAAUCUACCUCGGUCCGGGGGAUAACGCACCGAAAGGUGCGCUAAUACCGCAUAACCCGGCGGACCUUCGGGUCUGUCGGCAAAGGUGGCCUCUCCUUGGAAGCUACCGGAUCGAGAUGAGCCCGCGUCCCAUUAGCUAGUUGGUAGGGUAAAGGCCUACCAAGGCGACGAUGGGUAGCUGGUCUGAGAGGACGAUCAGCCACACUGGAACUGGAACACGGUCCAGACUCCUACGGGAGGCAGCAGUGAGGAAUAUUGCGCAAUGGGGGAAACCCUGACGCAGCGAUGCCGCGUGGGUGAAGAAGGCCUUCGGGUCGUAAAGCCCUGUCAGGCGGGAAGAAUAGCCCUAGGGUGAAUAUCCCUGGGGUAUGACGGUACCGCCGAAGGAAGCACCGGCUAACUCCGUGCCAGCCGCCGCUGUAAGAC
rnacentral:rRNA from 1 species